UAAAAACGCACGGGCGAGCUGAUUCAUAUAAAAAAAACACGAGCACUGCCUCUCCUCGAUGCGCACGGGUAUGGCACCGCCGCCGCCGUCACCCGCGGCCGGUCGGCCUCUCCAGCCAUCCGCCGCCGCCACGCGCGGCCGGUUGUCCUCCCCGGCCAUCCGCCGCCCUGUUCUCCAUCCCCUCCCCGGUUGUCCCCGAUCACACACGAGCACGGGAUCUCUGUGAUGCGCACGGGUACGGCGCCGUCGCCGCCGCCACGUGCGACCGGUCGUCCUCUCCGGCCAUCCGUCGCUGCCACGCGCGGCCGGUAGUCCUCUCCGGCCAUUUGCCGCCUUGUUCUCCAUCCCCUCCCCAUGCGUCCCCAAUCAGCCUCCUCGAUCUCGAACCUCAUGUUGUCGUCCUUCUCUGAUUUGGAUCAAAGUGGAGCCAUCAAUGGAAGCAGGGGAGCAGCAGAUGUGGAGCCAAUGGAGGAGGAGGAACAGCUCGGGAAACAUGAGGGAAGGUGUGGAUCUGACGGAAGCGGGGGAGCACAGCAGAUGGAGCCAUCUUAUCGACCCGUUUGGCGACCGGCCGGCUAGCCAAGCCCCUUCGCUCCCAUCACGUCCUCUAGCUCCGACGGUCGCCUGCCCGCACGGGGAUUAGAUGUCUUCGCCGUGACACGUGAGGAUGUUCUUGGACACUCUGUGUUGCUGCUGUUUGUAGUUGCAGAAGUCUUAAGGAGUCAGAGUAGCUUCCACAUCUGUAGUUAGGGCUGACGAUUGUGAUUUUGGGCCUGUACUGAAUAAUUUUGGGAGCGGCUGGGUGAUUACAAGCCAGGAGGACUGCAUGUGAUGAGUUAAGGGCUUAAGGCACAAGAAGAACUACGGCCAUUUUAGCUCCAGCAGUAAGCCCAGUGAGUACACAACCAAUCAACCAUGCAUUUUCACGACCCAGGUUUCUGAAUUCUGGCUGACAGGCUCGCUGCCACAGCCACAUAAUCGCACACAUUCAAAUUGCUAGCUACACAAAAUACGCCCGGAUCUACGAGUAGAAAUCCAAGAAUAGGAAGAACCAGACCGACAGCCCUUGAACUAGAUUGGUUGAAGCAGCAUACAUACAUAUUACAAUUUUGCAUUUUAAAUUUGAAGACUAAAACACGAGCAGCAAUCACUCCCACUGACACCGCGGUGUUGCGAAAAACACGAGCAUUCCUCUCCUUCCAAAUUUCCCACGAGAUAAGCAUCAUUAAAGAGCAUGAUAGUUCUUCUCUCCUCAAGUCUCAGAUCCGUUUUCAUCACCCUUUGGUAUGUUUCGUGGGGAUCUUUUUUAUUCAACGCAUAAAUGUUGAUUCGUUCAUGUGUUUAGAAGUAAGAGGUGCAGCAUGCCAGGGUCCUCGAAGGAGUAGUAGAGCAGAGGAUCUUCUUAGAGAUUUGGAUGUACAGAGUUUAUGAUACAAAGACCUAUUUUAUUUUUGUACCGGCUAUUGAAUUUUCUCCUUUCUAUCUCUGAACCCUUUUGAUAUGUUCUUUACUCCUAUUUCAGCCUUUUAAGGUCGGUUCUUCUUCCGGGAUUGCAGAGAGCAUGGAUCGCCAUAUGGAAGGAGAUGCCAUCCUUACUGUCGUUGUCUUUGGCAUGUUGCUGCCAUCUUUCUAAUCCUUGCACUGCAGAGACCUCAGUCUAUCCAUGGUUCAGAACUGUUACCUUGCUACACCUACACAUGUGGAAAACAUAAACUUGGCAGUCUAAAAUUAAGCAGCAAACUUCAUUGCCGGUCAUCUAAAAAUUCAGUGACAACAGCUGGCACACGAGCUUCAUUUUUUAGUAGAGAUAGUAUAUGAUGCAGAUGACAGUUCUACCUCUUUGACUGAAACAAGAACUUCCUCACCAAGGGCAUACCUACAAGACAGGGGCAUACCUGCAGGACAGCAGGAGGUCCUCAGGCACGCAGCACACAUUCACCAAAGAUAUGGAGCUACCAUUUUAGAUUAGUACUAGCAUAAUGGUACAUACUGUGUGUUUUAGCAUAUUAGUAGUAGCAUACCUGCAAGAGGUCCUAAGUUUGUUCAGUUCUAUACAAAGUUGAGUUGGUAUGUAGUGUUGAGAGGAUCCUAAAAUAUUGUACUACAUAAUCUCUUUCCAGGUUCAUGAAAACUUGCACUCUCCUGUUGAAUUUCGCA